rnacentral:lncRNA from 1 species
GGCAGGGCCGUUUUUUCACUUCGCUCCCUAGCUACUUCUCGUCCUACUCCUGUCCAAAACAACUGGAUAGAUAAACGCGAUAUAGCAGGAAGCAUCAAUUAGCCUAUCCACAGGUUAGCAGGAGUCUAUAUCAGGGUAAGGACACGGGAAUAUGGAUUGAAAUUGAACGUUUCCACUAGCCACAAAGCCAGGAUGGCUAUAUCGUAAAAAUCCUGAAAACAAAAAUUGGCUUUUGGGUCAUAAUUUAAGGUUCGGGUUAGGCAUAAGAUUAGCAGUGUGGUUAUGAUAUGGAACGCCGUUUUGGUUUUAAAGCACGUGGUCAAAACGCGAUCUUUUUAAUGCUAUGUGUGUAAAGUAAACAGGUGCAGGCUCUAAAUUAACGCCUACAUGCGUCAAAUAAGCGCGUGCAAAUGUGCUUGCAGGCGGUUUAACAUGUGCUAAAUAAACGACUGCAAGCGGUCCUGCGCACGUCAAAUUAACGCCUACAGCUGCUAUACACCCACACACGCUAAUUUAACGCGUUCUUUAAUAUGCUAAUUUUACUAGCCAAUUUCCCUAGCUUCUCCUUUCAAACAGAUUUCACAGUUUGAAGGAACUUCCUUUUCCACUGCAAACAGAGUUUGAACCUUUACAAGAAGGGAACAUUGAAGGGGAGUUUGGAGUGGGCAAGGGGGAGGCUGAAGACCUGAUUCAUCAAGUAUCAUUUAAUUCAGGUGAUUCUCACCUGGUUGGCAUGCAUGCACAACAUGACAAGGCAAAACGUCUUCAGCCACCGUAGGACGGAGAGCCUCUGGUUGGCAUUUGACGGCAGUGUCUGUACCAGGAAAGGAAGUUAGAAGAUAGGGCCCCAUGAUAUCGAAGUUUCUUACCAUUUCCACUGCAGCCCAGUUGAUAUCGAUUUUAAAAACCUAGAACAAUAGAUUGUGUAGCACAAUGUACAACUCCAGUUUGCCUAUUGUCACAACAAAUGUCAAUUAUACAUUUUUACAUACGUCAGAGUGCAUUUUAUUUUAUAGCUCUGCUUUCAACGCCAUCCUGACCUAGAAACUGGUUAGCAGACUCAGGGUUCUGGGUGUAAAUUCUGUAAUAACAAAUUUAGAUUUUUUUACAUUAUCAUGAGAAUGUGUAUCCCCAGAAUGGACCCGACACUACCAUGGUACACAUAAGUACAUGAAGGAGCUGUGGGACCUGACAUAAUGGUGAUACGUCAACAGUCUCAGCGUAAACAAAACAAAGUAGCUGGUGAUACUUGACCAUUCUCCAGAAAAGCAGAAAAGGAUAUCUCCAUGUCAUCUCCAUGUCAAUGUACAGUAGAUGUACUGUACAUUGACAUGGAGAUGAUCAGCAGCUUCAAGUUCCUGGGCACCCUGAUAUCCUUUUCUGCCCUCAGUUACUUCAAUCAAAGUCCCACUUGUGCUUCUCCACUACCCUUAAACUUGCUGCACCAUGACCUAUGUACCAACUACAGUGUCUUUUGCCAUUACACAUGUAAAUGAAAUGUCCAUAUUUACUGGAAGAUUUAUUUAUGGUAACAUAGUCCCUUGACAUACAUGACUUAACUACUUUGCAUAAUGCUCAGUUUACCCACUAAGAAAUCAUACAUGUAUUAAAAUAUUAAAGCUGCAUUAUGUAUUACUGUGUCCAAUUGAUUCUGGUUGGUUGUAAUGUUUUUGAAAACUUUCACUACACAACUUUAUUUUGCUGAUGGACAAUCCUGUCGGAAACUUUAAUAUCAAUUAUUUUGGGACCCAUCACCAAUUAACAUUGGCUGCAGUAUUCCGAACUUACUAGGUAGUCAUGCAAUAAACGUUUUGUAUAAUUCCCUUUUAAAUUAAUUAUUUAAAUCAAAUAAAAUUGUAUUUGUCACAUGCGCCAAAUACAAGGUGUAGACCUUACAGUGAAAUGCUUACUUACAAGCCCUUAACCAACAAUGCGGUACAAAAAAAAAAAGAUAAGUCAAUAAUUAAAGAGCAUUCAGUAAAAUAGUAGCGAGGCUAUAUACAGGGGAUACCGGUACAGAGAAUGUGCGGGGGCGCCGGUUAGUCAAGUUAAUAAAUACAUGUAGGUAGAGAUAUUAAAGUGACUACGCAUAGAUAGAGUAGCAACAAAUAGUCUGGGUAGCCAUUUAAUUAGAUGUUCAGUAGUCUUAUGGCUUGGGGUUAGAAUCUGUUUAGAAGCCUCUUGGACCUAGACUUGGCACUCCGGUCCUGCUUGCCGUGUGGUAGCAGAGAGAACUGUAGCUGUGGCUCCACUGGCAAUCCCAGCCUAGGAAUGCUGAAGCCCCCGAAGUGAAAAUGAAAACCUCCAUGGUUAAAGGGUAUGUGUUCCCCCCUGAAAACAGGGAAGGGGGGGACAUUAAAGUCCAUAAGUAACACUUGUUGGAGAAC